UACGUAGGGUGCGAGCGUUAAUCGGAAUUACUGGGCGUAAAGCGUGCGCAGGCGGCUUUGCAAGACAGAUGUGAAAUCCCCGGGCUCAACCUGGGAACUGCAUUUGUGACUGCAAGGCUAGAGUACGGCAGAGGGGGAUGGAAUUCCGCGUGUAGCAGUGAAAUGCGUAGAUAUGCGGAGGAACACCAAUGGCGAAGGCAAUCCCCUGGGCCUGUACUGACGCUCAUGCACGAAAGCGUGGGGAAACAGG
rnacentral:rRNA from 1 species